rnacentral:lncRNA from 1 species
GAUCCAGAAACCAAAAAAAAAAAACAGCUUUUAAAAUCUCAACGUUUAUUUUAAUCAUUUUAUCACCGCGGAGUACAUAUUUAAGAAUCUUUUCUUUAUUAGGAAUAACAGUUGACAGCUACUUUCAACAUAACCUUCGUUCUCUCAAAGUUUACUUUUGCAAGCAAGGUCGUUGAAACAUUCUACUUUUGCGGACUCACGAGUGGAUGUCAUCGGUGUGAUGGUGACCGGCCGUACAAAAAUGUGUCAAUAUUAUGCGUUCAUCUGUUUCUUUGAUCUGUUCUUGAUCAUAAUAUUUAAAUCUUCUACUAACAUAUUAUUUUAAUCUGUUUCUUGAUCAUAAUAUUCAGCGGUUAAAUUAAAUGUUAUUGUGAAAACUUCAUCAUUAAAUGUAAUAAACUGAUUUUAUCUAAAGUAUACCUGAUUGGACAGGUCCAUUCAAACUUGUGUGGCACUUUCCUCAAAAGGUCAUUUCAGACACAAACCAUCACCAUAUAUAAUUUAUUUUUAUGUCUGGACCUGAAAAGAGACCAUGUCUCUUGAGUUUAUUUCGGCGUUUCUUUUCAAGUAGUCAGUUAGGAAAAUCUCGUUUUUAGAAAAAAAAAUGUAUUGACUUCAACCUAUUUGCAAAAUAAAAUAUCAUUUAAAGGUUUAUAAAUUCUGUAGUCUUGAGACAUUUAUAGAUUUUAGGUUUAUAACAUAAAAAAUAUAAAGUUCAAAUUAUAUUGGUUAUCUCUUUGAUAAAUUGUAAUAACCAUUUAAAUGUGAUACUCAUAAAGAUUAUCACUAGAACAGUAGAGUACAUACGAUUUCCUUUUUAGAAUUUCGUCUCAGGUAUCCGCGACAUCGUGGCGCCUACUGCCAAAUUAAGAAAUGUAAGGCGAUGAGCAUAGUGAGUAUACAUGAUUAAUUAAUUAUCUACUUUAUUUGACUAGUACAUAUGAUUGAAAUACCAAUAAUCAUUGAUGAUAAGGUUGAUAUCUAGCGUUUGCAAUAUCUAAUAUAAUCGCUACCUUAAUUUAUAGUAGUAUAAAAAGCGAUCACUGAGGUGCGCAUCCAGAUUUUUUGUGAUUUCGAUGUGCAUUGUCUGUGUAACGUGAAUUAUUAUAUUGUGUUGAGUGACAAGAUCGGUGACAAUAAGUAUGUAUGUACCUAUUUAUUUUUAUAUAUUAUUUUAUCUAGUCUUGAAUUUUACAGUUUUCAAAAAGCAGAACGAACUUUGUGCAAUGAAUAAAUACUUUUUCAUCCCAUGAAAAAGUAUUUAUGAACUUUACUAGGUAUUUCUUUUUAAUUUGAUACUCAUAUGUGCGCGCCGUUUUGUUUUUUGCAUUUAGUAAUUUCCUCGAUGAGGUGGCAUGAAAAGUUAUGUGUUGCACUGAAGUGCAAAGAUUUUUUCACCUUGUGCUCUUUUAAUUCCUUUUGAAAAUUGAGCCCGCGGUUAAAAAGCAACUUUGCACUCUUGUAUAACAAAUAACUAUUAACUACAAAUAAAAAUUUAAAUUAAAUUUUCUAAUUUAGGGCAUCUCGGAAUCCUUUUGACUCUGAUACGGAGAUUACUUUGCAACCAAGCACGAGUGGUGAAAAGCCUCAAAAAUCGAGGAAGAGGAAAAUCAUCAGCAAUAAACCUAAACAGAGCAAGAAAACUGCGCCUCCUCCUGAUUUAUCCGAAGACUCUGAAACCGAGCCAGUAUCUACUGCUCGAAAACAAUCCUCAAUAUUUUCAGAUUCUGAGGACGACGCCGUGGAGCCUGUUAGAGCUGCUGCUCUAAGAAGUUAUCUGGCGCGGCGUGUGGGUUCCGGGUACACCCUGCAGCGUGAUCCAACUCGCAGCGGUCAGUUUUAUAUAGAGCUACGUGUCUACAAUAGCAAGGAAGCAGAGACACUUGCUGCUAAUCGUUGGAAGCGAGCGCUUUUCACACUUCGCUCAUCACAUGAUGACAGCGGUCCGGUAUGGAAAGCUCUUACUGACUU